rnacentral:lncRNA from 1 species
CACAACAACAGUGCAAGGGAGGAAGGAGGAGAAAUGUUUACAAAGAGCUGGUUUUGGGGAAGGUCCAGAAGAUUCAACUGUUUAUUUGGAAUCAUAAAAUGUUGGAGGAGGAGAAGACAUUGGAGAUCAUCUGGUUCAAACUUUUUAUUUUGUGGACAUGGAAAAAUGACACCAAGAGAAGCUAAAUGACCUGUCCAAGAUCAUACAGCAAGUUAGUGGCAGACCUGGGAAGUAACCCAAGUCUCCUGGAAAGAGCAGUGGAAUGGGAAAUCAGAUGUUCUUUCCUUUGCCCCAUACUGCCUCUUAUUUCUUCUUGACCUUUUUCCCACUGCAUCCCAUCAGGAUGGGUGUGGGAGGAGAGUCCAUGCCUAGAAACAGGCAACCAGCCUGUACUUAAGGAGUUUCUGGACAUCAGCUGAGACUUAGAGGAUUAGCUGGAGAGCUCCUUGGCCUUGGAACUCAGCCAGGCCACAGUGUUUCUCAAGUUCUGAUCAGCUGGCUUGCUGAAAUUUUUCUUUGUAGCUGUGCUCUGGUCUCUCUCGCUUGAAUUUUGAUGUGACCUUGGGAGUUGGCCUACCAUGCAAAAGAUAUUUGUUGCCCUCAAAGGUCCCAAGAGUAGCUGUCUGAUGAGCCAUAGGGAGGUUUCAUGAUCACACUAGGGUUGACCUAAUGUAUUCAAGGAUACAUUAUUUAUUCACAUUCUGUUAUUUAUGGGGCUUUAGGAAGUGUUCCCCAACCCCAACCAAAAAUCCCCAGUUCAUUAUUUUGUGUUUAACAUUGUCCUUUUCUGCUGGUUUUUAAAAAUGCAUUCAUUCCAAGGAUAGAUUAUAGAUUCAAUUAUAAAGACAUUAGAACAGUUGGAUUUUUCAGAAUUACAGAAUUUCAGCAUGGGAAAAUUUUAGUUCAUCUAGUUCAGCCCAAACCUGAGGACCAAUCCUUUUGAAAUGUCAACAACAGACUUCUACUUGCAGGCAUCUGGUGAUGAAGAACCCAUUUUGUAACAAAACAAUCCAUUUUACUUUUCUACAUGUAAUUCUUUUCCUCUUUACUUUAUUGUUAACUAUUUGAUCUGGCUUUCAACUUCAUCAAUCAACUGAAACUAUUCUCUUUAAAGUGACCAAUGAUCUCUGAACUGUCAAAUCUCAGGGUCUUUUCCCAAGUGAUCCUUCUGCAGCCUUUAUACUGUUGA